rnacentral:lncRNA from 1 species
UUUGAUAAAUUCCGUGGCUUCAAGCUGAAAGAAUAACAAAAUCAAACAAUGAUAAUAGAAAUUAUAAAAUAUAAAUAAUUUUAAAAAAAGACUUACAACUUUAUCGCUUUCCUUAUAUGUCAUUUGUAAAGUCUCUGACCAAGCUUCGACUUCACUCCUUCCUUGUUGCAUCUAUAUUCACAUAAUUCAUUAAUAUAUAAAAAAAUAGAUAUAAAUUAUAAAUAAAUUACCAAUUCAUGACGUCUUUGCGCUAAUCCUUUUGAACCAGCGUGAUGUGUCAUUUGAUUCGCUCGGUUCACGGUAUUUAUCUCGGAAAUUUGCUGAAAUUAUAAAAAAUAAUAAGUUUUUAAAUUUAUUAAUAUAAUAAAUAUAUAUAUAUAUACAUAUACGUACCUUUCCUUUUUCCGAUCGAUGUUGUCUCAAUUUAUUCAGAAAUUGAGGUUUGCUGACAUACGGUGGAAGAGUCGCUAAAAUAUCUUCUUCUCUCAUAUCAGGAUCAGAG